rnacentral:rRNA from 1 species
UACAACGCACUACCUGUUCAUAGUAGUCGUUGCUGUCAACAGCACACUGCUCACCAUCAACGCAGGGGACUCCAUCUUCUACACGAACUGGGCGUGGACGCCCUUCGUUUUGUUCCCGGUGUCGCACGCACCCUUUAUCCCUAAAUGACAAAUAACCUAACUGUUAUCCCCAGGUGGUCCUGACCCCGCACCUUCUAACGCACUUGAUUUACACAGCAACAAGAGGGUGCAAAGGGGCCUAUGUUGUGCACUGUAAUCACCCCACCCGUCGCGGGCGACAAGACGCAACAAGCACGCUGCCAUACUGAUUGGCGGUACGCUGGUUGGCCUAUCCUGCCCGCUGUUCAACAUGGUCAACCUGUUGCUUGUAAGGGACCCGCUCGAGGUGGCCUUCAAGUAUCCGAGACCGACGCUGCCCGCGUACAUGACGCCUAUAGAGCCUCAGGUAGGGAAGUUCUACAACUCGCCUGUCGCCCUGGGUGCAGGUGCCGGUGCAGUGCUAACGGUACCCAUCGCUGCGUUGGGUGCAAAACUAAACACGUGG